CAGUGGUGACAAGAAGUACAUUCGGAAUUACAUGCCAGUCUUCAUGACUGUGUUAUUCUGAGCGAAAGUCCCUGGGUCAUUGAACUGAAAGAGUUGCAGCGUAAGUGCUGCCGUGCGGUUUUAGAAUUAUGUUCACAGAUGUGUUAUGUCAUGAAACACAAGUGUGGAGCUAUCAUGUCUGGUACCGUUUUCACCGAAAGCAAAGUGACGUACAAUUUAACAGCAUAGGGCUCACUCUGUCGACCACU
rnacentral:RNase_MRP_RNA from 1 species